ACUUAACCAGGACUUGACAUGUAGCUGCAAGCUCCCGAAACGGAGUCGCCUUCGAGGGUGCUACACAGGUGGUGCAUGGCUGUCGUCAGCUCGUGUUGUGAAAUGUUGGGUUAAGUCCCGCAACGAGCGCAACCCUCACGUUUUGUUACCAGCGGAUAAUGCCGGGGACUCGAAACGAACUGCCUCUGUAAGGAGGAGGAAGGUGGGGACGACGUCAAGUCAUCAUGCCCCUUACGUCCUGGGCUGCACACAUGCUACAAUGGCCGGCACAAUGGGUUGCUAACCCGCGAGGGGGAGCUAAUCCCAGAAAGUGUAUCGUAGUCCGGAUUGUAGUCUGCAACUCGACUACAUGAAGUUGGAAUCGCUAGUAAUCGCGGAUCAGCAUGUCGCGGUGAAUACGUUCCC
rnacentral:rRNA from 1 species